GCAUUAAUGGGGUAGUGCUAACCUGGGUCCUUGCCACACGGCAAUAUGUGGUGUGCAUUAUUGACCUGCCAGGGGUUCAAUUCCCCUUAAUGCA